ACACCAGCAAAGAGGCCUCGUUACCAAGUCCUUACACCUUUGACAAUAUCUUUGUGUCUGGGACUGUGUGUUCCCAGGUCAGUGCUCACCCUCUACUGCUCUGGAGAAGAAAUGUAAAAAAGAAACCAACAAAGUUACUUGUGAGCAAAUCGACAUUGUGCAGAAACCUGUGGGCAUUCCCCUCUGAUCACAUGUGCUGCCCCAGCCUGGGAAAGGCAAAAAAUACCUCCUGGUUGUUGUGAAAGCCAGAAGCAACAGCUCUGUGAGCAGCUCGAGGGCUUUUCUGAGUGCUGAGCACAUCUGCACAGCACCUGGCACAUCUGUUGGAAAAAUCAUCUCUGACAAGCCACUUUCCUGGGUGCAGAGCUCAAAAGACGCCAAGAGGCUUGGGGCUUGAUGAAAGGUCCUCCAGGAGCUGUCCAGCUGGAAAUGCAAACAUCAAACCUGGAGAUGACUUUUGAGAACACAGGCCAAAGAGAACGAGCAAUUUGCCAAAGACACACAGGGAAUUUGCAGGAGCACCAAGAAUGGGAGCAAGAUAUCUGAAGUGAAAUUUAAAAUGCUUGUCCUAACACUCUCCCUCGUACAACACUACACUGCUGAUUGUCUGCUUUCUUUCUUAGAUAUCUCACUCCAGCCUCUUCAAUAUCUUUUAAUGACAUUAAAAAAAAAGCAGGUGCUUCUAUUUAUGAGUAAGAAACUUUCUUAGAAGUUCACAAGAACAAAAAAAGCAACGUGUGUUCCAAGGCACAGUAAGAUUUCUGAGCAAGCCUUUUUUAUUAUUCAAUUUAAGCCCAAGUAAAAUAUAUAGCUGUUUCAGAUUUGGCUCCUCUCUGAAACAUGCCUUGUAGAACAAUGUUUCUCUCCCCCUGUAAUUCUGACUCCACAACACCAGUUUUAUUUGCCAGGCCUGGCAAACAAUGAUCUAUCCAUCCAUGUCAUGCAUAUUAUGUCAAAUUUAUUACGACAGCUUUCCAGCAUAUUUCCAGUCAAGGUUUCAUUCUUCUUACAGAUUCUGCAAAUGAGCAACAGUUUUAGUUACAAAUGCCUCCCCAUGAGGCAGCACUCCUGACAAUAGAGCAGAACUUACUGUAUUUCUUGCAGAAUUGUG